GCAGAGGGCUGGAUGGCCGCGGGGGCAACUCCGAGGAAAGUCCGGACUCCACAAGGCAAUGGUGCCGGGUAACGCCCGGCCGGGGCAACCCGAGGGAAAGCGCCACAGAGAACAGACCGCCUUUGGCCACCCGCAAGGGGCGCCGAGGUAAGGGUGAAACGGUGGAGUAAGAGACCACCGCGCCCCUGGCAACAGGGGUGGCACGGCAAGCCCCACCAGGAGCAAUGCCAAAUAGGGACCGCGCGUGAGCAAUCACAGGGGCGUCUUGCCCCGAGCAGGUCCGGGUUGGCAGCUAGAGGGCGUCUGGUAACAGGCGCUCAAGAUGAAUGGUCAUCGGCCACGGGGCAACCUGUGGUGACAAAAUCCGGCUUACAGGUCCUCUGCGCAA
rnacentral:RNase_P_RNA from 1 species